rnacentral:rRNA from 1 species
GGGACACGUGGUAUCCUGUCUGAAUAUGGGGGGACCAUCCUCCAAGGCUAAAUACUCCUGACUGACCGAUAGUGAACCAGUACCGUGAGGGAAAGGCGAAAAGAACCCCGGCGAGGGGAGUGAAAAAGAACCUGAAACCGUGUACGUACAAGCAGUGGGAGCACGCUUAGGCGUGUGACUGCGUACCUUUUGUAUAAUGGGUCAGCGACUUAUAUUCUGUAGCAAGGUUAACCGAAUAGGGGAGCCGAAGGGAAACCGAGUCUUAACUGGGCGUUAAGUUGCAGGGUAUAGACCCGAAACCCGGUGAUCUAGCCAUGGGCAGGUUGAAGGUUGGGUAACACUAACUGGAGGACCGAACCGACUAAUGUUGAAAAAUUAGCGGAUGACUUGUGGCUGGGGGUGAAAGGCCAAUCAAACCGGGAGAUAGCUGGUUCUCCCCGAAAGCUAUUUAGGUAGCGCCUCGUGAAUUCAUCUCCGGGGGUAGAGCACUGUUUCGGCAAGGGGGUCAUCCCGACUUACCAACCCGAUGCAAACUGCGAAUACCGGAGAAUGUUAUCACGGGAGACACACGGCGGGUGCUAACGUCCGUCGUGAAGAGGGAAACAACCCAGACCGCCAGCUAAGGUCCCAAAGUCAUGGUUAAGUGGGAAACGAUG